rnacentral:lncRNA from 1 species
ACUCGUCAUGCUGACCCAAUACACACCUCACAGAUCCCUCAUGGGCUGUCAAGUACCAGAUUAACGACCGUCCCCAUGGGAGGUAUCAGAAUCAGAGGUUCCUGCAACUUACACUUUUAUCUUUCAAUGCCCCUUGGCAAUCAUUAUCCACCUGACCGUUUGAUCUCUUUUUUUCGUUCUCGGUUCAGGCCUUUCUUGUAUCGCUUUUUC